CAUGAUGUCUGUGUGGAUGUGUUCUGCUAGCAUUCGACCUAGUGAUUGAAGGGCUGCUGCAUUUGAGGUUUUCUGCAUAAUAUCAUCAUCCCAGAUGGAGCAAGGUUCAUCCUGUUUCAAGACACAUGAAUAGUACACAAGAUGGAUCGAAAACGUGGUGAUAUAAUACCAGUUCCACAUGCCGAUCUUGAAAGGAUCAGACUUGCGGUAAGUACAUGAAGCCAAGUUGUCGAUUCUCCAUUGGGCAAGACGAGAGGUUGUUUCAACCCUGUACGCUGAAUCGCUCAUCCUAUCACAAAAAACAAGUGCAGCUAUGGUUUCAUGAAUACAAUCCAGCUUUCCCACGCUGUUCUUCUUCCUCCUCCGAGCUAUUCACUCACAAAACACACUCUGUUUCUGUUCCUCACUCUGCUUCUCUUGUGGAUCAUUCUGUGUUCUGAUCAAAACCCAGAAAAAUAGUCAACGACAUCCCAUAUGGGAUUUGAUAAUGAUUUUUUUUUCCGGCCUGAAUAUCUGGGAUUUGAUUAGGUAGAAGUUUCAUCCAGUGAUUUCGGAUUGACUGGUGUGAAGGUUGAGAGAGAUGGAGAUGAAAAUGAAGGAGUGAUGUGGAAGGUUUGAUUGGUUGGUGCGAAAUGCCCAGGGAGGUUUGGAUGGUACAUGGUGAUACUGAAAUGAAUGAGUUACUUGUAUCACUUGGAGUUUGGGAUUGGGAUUGAGAAACGUCAUCAAUAACUUGUAGUAAUAUUUUAUUAUAUGUCGACACUCGAACGUCAUGCUUUCAAACUUGUCGUAUUAUAUUGAUUUU